AGUUUAACUCCGCCUGUGUCUUCGUUGUAUUUACACAGCCGGUCCCAAGCCCGGAUAAAGGAGGAGGGUUGU
rnacentral:ribozyme from 1 species